AGGACGAACGCUGGCGGCGUGCUUCAUACAUGCAAGUCGAACGAGAAAUUCACUUCGGUGAAUGGAAAGUGGCGGACGGGUGAGUAAUGUGUAGAGAAUCUGCCCUGGAGUGGGGGACAACAGAGGGAAACUUCUGCUAAUACCCCAUAUGCGCGUAGUUGCGAUACUAUUCGUGAAAGAUUUAUUGCUCCAGGAUGAGUCUGCAUCUGAUUAGCUAGUUGGGGGUGUAAUGGACCACCAAGGCGACGAUCAGUAGCUGGUUUGAGAGGAUGAUCAGCCACAAUGGGACUGAGACACGGCCCAUACUCCUACGGGAGGCAGCAGUAGGGAAUUUUGCGCAAUGGGCGAAAGCCUGACGCAGCCAACGCCGCGUGAUCGUAGAAGCCCUUCGGGGUGUAAAGAUCUGUCAGUAGGGACGAACAAUGACUGUACCUACAGAGGAAGCACCGGCUAACUCCGUGCCAGCCGCUGC
rnacentral:rRNA from 1 species